rnacentral:rRNA from 1 species
UACGUAGGCAGCGAGCGUUGUUCGGAGUUACUGGGCGUAAAGGGUGUGUAGGCGGUUAUUUAAGUUUGGUGUGAAAUCUCCCGGCUCAACCGGGAGGGUGCGCCGAAUACUGAAUGACUUGGAGUGCGGGAGAGGUGAGUGGAAUUCCUGGUGUAGCGGUGAAAUGCGUAGAUAUCAGGAAGAACACCCGUGGCGAAGGCGGCUCUCUGGAACGCAACUGACGCUGAGACGCGAAAGCGUGGGGAGCAAACAGG